ensembl:snRNA U6 U6 spliceosomal RNA
GUGCUCACUUCAGUAGCACAUAUACUAAAAUUGGAACAACUCAGGGAAGAUUAGCAUGGCCCUUGCACAAGGAUGACAGGCAAAUUCGGGAAGUGUUCAUAUCCCUC